rnacentral:rRNA from 1 species
AACGUAGGGGACAAGCGUUAUCCGGAUUUACUGGGCGUAAAGCGCCCGUAGGCGGCUAAAUAAGUUGGACGUGAAAGCUCCCGGCUUAACUGGGAGAGGCCGUUCAAAACUGGUUAGCUAGAGUGAGGCAGAGGAGUGCGGAAUUCCCGGUGUAGUGGUGGAAUGCGUAGAUAUCGGGAGGAACACCAGUGGCGAAAGCGGCACUCUGGGCCUAAACUGACGCUGAGGGGCGAAAGCGUGGGGAGCGAACGGG